UUUCUUCUUCUCUCCUUGGUCCGUUCGGUAGGGAACAAACAUUCUCUAAUGUCUCCACCUUUAAAAAAGAACUUACAUUUCCCAACCCCACACUCCCCACGAAAUACUGUGUCAUUUCUGAGUCGUCUUUUACAGUACGACUUCUGGAAGGAGUUGUCUAAAUCCAGGAUCUCUACUUCCUCACCUCCUAUUUCCUCUUCGAGUCAUCCCAGUUUGGCUUCUUUCCCCAUUCCUCCGCUGGAACUGCUCUGAGAUUCUUCACUCUGGGAGACCAGCUGCAUGUCCAGAAGACACUUGAGAAGCCCUGUGAAGAAGUCCAUGUGGGGAGAAGCCGAGGCCUCUUGCUCACAGCCAGUGAGGAGUUGAGGCCACAAGAGUGAAAGUGGGUCCUCCCACCCAACUCUAGCCUUCAGAUGAUGCAGCCCCAGCUGCCAUCUUGACGGCAGCCUCACGAGAGCUGUGCAGUAGAACCACCCAGCUAAGGUGCCAGAACACCUGCCUUACAGGAACUGCAAUAGAAGACAUGCUUGCUAUUUUACACUGCUAAGUUUUAUGAGUCUGGUAAAGUCCCUGCCACCUGAAAGAAGCUUCGUCUAUCUUUGUUGAGUGAGAGAAUGAUGCAGAACAAAGUGCAUGAGAGAGAGUUCUCGCUUCUUGGACCAAGUCACCGUAGGAUUCCCAUAGUUGUUUGGGGAAUGGAGCAAAGAGCAGAACUGAGUCCUGGAAGCUGGGAUGGCUCCUGGAUGGCUCGGCAUUGGAGUCUUGGCUCUCUAUAUAUUUCAUAUAGUAUUUAAAGGGAUUUUGUGGAAAUCUAAGUUUAAUGCGUGUGUGUGUGUUUCUUAAAAUAGAUGACGUCUUCACUCAAUGGUAGAACAAGCCCCAGUGGGGGCAUUGGCAUAACUAUAACUUCAACUCGGAGACAGAGAGAGAGGAAUGCAUCCCCGCUUGGAGGAAAAUCCGCUAAUUUUGUAUAAGCAGGUCUUAUUCAGCAAUCUCUGAGCUUCUUGCUUAGGAAACCAGAUUUCAAACUGCGAUUUUGUUUUCUAGUCCCUCAUGCACAUAUAUAUGGGUUACUUAUAAGCAUGCAGGGAGUGAAUGCUAGGACACUAUAGAUUGCCAAAAUGCACUUACUCGAUUUUUCUAAUGGCAUCAAAGUGGCAGCUUGACCCAAGAUCCCAGGACUUGCUCAGCAGGAAGAACAGAGACUGGCCUUUGGUAAUUCUUUGACUCAGAUGUAAGUCACUGAUUCUUGGGUGAAAGAGUCUUAUUUUUUUUCUAACAUAUUAAUCAAUUGUCUUUCACUAAAAGAUAUUGAUCUAAUGAAAAAGAAAUAGAAAUUGAUCCUGAUC
rnacentral:lncRNA from 1 species